AACGCUGGCGGCGUGCUUAACACAUGCAAGUCGAACGGAGAUUAUUAAUGAAGCUUGCGAUUUAAUAAUCUUAGUGGCGGACGGGUGAGUAACGCGUGGGCAACCUACCCAUAAGCGGGGGAUAACAGUUGGAAACGACUGCUAAUACCGCAUAAGCUAUUAAGGUCACAUGACCUUAAUAGUAAAGGUGGCGAUUUUACAUUGCUAUCACUUAUGGAUGAGCCCGCGUCUGAUUAGCUAGUUGGUGGGAUAGCAGCCUACCAAGGCAACGAUCAGUAGCCGGCCUGAGAGGGUGGACGGCCACACUGGGACUGAGACACGGCCCAGACUCCUACGGGAGGCAGCAGUGGGGAAUAUUGCGCAAUGGGGGAAACCCUGACGCAGCGACGCCGCGUGAGCGAAGAAAGGCCUUAGGGUCGUAAAGCUCUGUUGUAAGGGACGAAUGUUUAUCUGGCGAACAGUCAGAUAAAGUGACGGUACCUUACCAGCAAGCCCCGGCUAACUACGUGCCAGCAGCAGC
rnacentral:rRNA from 1 species